rnacentral:rRNA from 1 species
AUGGCAGCGUCCCUCCGCUCCCCGCCGCCCGUGCCCGCAGCCGCCGCCUUCCGCCGCUGCCGCGCCGCCGCCGUCGUCUGCGCCUCCUCCUCUCCCUCCUCGUCCUCGUCGUCGGCCGUGUCGUCCGCUCCCAAGGCGCGCUUCGUCGCCCGCCGCUCCGAGUCCACCUCCGUCCAGCAGCUCGCCCGCCCCCUCGGUACGACAACCCUAGCCCCGACCAGGAGCCUCACCUCACCUCACCUCCCCCAGCGAUCUCCUGACACGUUACCGUCCGUCUGUCCGCAUAUGUAUGCAGCGGAGUACAUGGGCCUGCCGGCAAGCCAGUACUCGGUGCUGGACGCGGAGCGCAUCGAGCGCGUCGACGAGUCCACCUUCCGCUGCUACGUCUACCGCUUCCGCUUCUUCGCGCUCGAGGUCUGCCCCGUCCUCCUCGUCCGCGUCGACGAGGAGCCCAACGGCUGCUGCAUCCGCCUCCUCUCAUGCAAGCUGGAGGGGUCACCCCUUGUGGAGGCGCAGAAUGACAAAUUCUCGGCUUCCAUGGUGAAUAGGGUUUUCUGCAACAGCAGUUCAGAGGGUUCGACGCUUCAACAGCUUACAUCGGAUGCUACAAUCGAGGUUGCAAUUGACAUUCCCUUUCCAUUUCAAGCACUACCAGUUGAAGCUAUUGAAUCAAGUGGCAGGCAAGUGCUUGAGCAGUUACUCCGAGUCAUGCUUCCACGAUUUCUGAAGCAGCUUGAUAAAGACUACCAAGCUUGGGCCUCGGGCGAUUCUUCACGGAAACCGCUUGGCACUGGGGAAAUAUGA